CCCUAGCCCUGAUAGAAGUGGAAAUCCUUUUGUGCCGGUCCAGAAACUUCGGGGAGGUACAAAAGAUUGAAACGGAUAGCAGGACUCGAG
rnacentral:sRNA from 1 species